GAACGCUGGCGGCGUGCUUAACACAUGCAAGUCGAACGCUGAAGCCUGGUGCUUGCACUGGGUGGAUGAGUGGCGAACGGGUGAGUAACACGUGAGUAACCUGCCCUUGACUUCGGGAUAAGCCCGGGAAACUGGGUCUAAUACUGGAUAUGACCUCCUACUGCAUGGUGGGGGGUGGAAAGAUUUAUCGGUUGGGGAUGGACUCGCGGCCUAUCAGUUUGUUGGUGGGGUAAUGGCCUACCAAGACGACGACGGGUAGCCGGCUUGAGAGGGUGACCGGCCACACUGGGAUUGAGACACGGCCCAGAUUCUUACGGGAGGCAGCAGUGGGGAAUAUUGCACAAUGGGCGCAAGCCUGAUGCAGCGACGCCGCGUGAGGGAUGACGGCCUUCGGGUUGUAAACCUCUUUCAGUAGGGAAGCAGCCUUUUGGGGUGACGGUACCUGCAGAAGAAGCGCCGGCUAACUACGUGCCAGCAGCCGCGGUAAUACGUAGGGCGCAAGCGUUAUCCGGAAUUAUUGGGCGUAAAGAGCUCGUAGGCGGUUUGUCGCGUCUGCUGUGAAAGCCCGGGGCUUAACUCCGGGUGUGCAGUGGGUACGGGCAGGCUAGAGUGCAGUAGGGGAGACUGGAAUUCCUGGUGUAGCGGUGGAAUGCGCAGAUAUCAGGAGGAACACCGAUGGCGAAGGCAGGUCUCUGGGCUGUUACUGACGCUGAGGAGCGAAAGCAUGGGGAGCAAACAGGAUUAGAUACCCUGGUAGUCCAUGCCGUAAACGUUGGGCACUAGGUGUGGGGGACAUUCCACGUUUUCCGCGCCGUAGCUAACGCAUUAAGUGCCCCGCCUGGGGAGUACGGCCGCAAGGCUAAAACUCAAAGGAAUUGACGGGGGCCCGCACAAGCGGCGGAGCAUGCGGAUUAAUUCGAUGCAACGCGAAGAACCUUACCAAGGCUUGACAUGGACCGGAUCGGCGCAGAGAUGUGUUUUCCCUUCGGGGCUGGUUCACAGGUGGUGCAUGGUUGUCGUCAGCUCGUGUCGUGAGAUGUUGGGUUAAGUCCCGCAACGAGCGCAACCCUCGUUCUAUGUUGCCAGCACGUUAUGGUGGGGACUCAUGGGAGACUGCCGGGGUCAACUCGGAGGAAGGUGGGGAUGACGUCAAAUCAUCAUGCCCCUUAUGUCUUGGGCUUCACGCAUGCUACAAUGGCCGGUACAAUGGGUUGCGAUACUGUGAGGUGGAGCUAAUCCCAAAAAGCCGGUCUCAGUUCGGAUUGGGGUCUGCAACUCGACCCCAUGAAGUCGGAGUCGCUAGUAAUCGCAGAUCAGCAACGCUGCGGUGAAUACGUUCCCGGGCCUUGUACACACCGCCCGUCAAGUCACGAAAGUUGGUAACACCCGAAGCCGGUGGCCUAACCCUUGUGGGGGGAGCCGUCGAAGGUGGGACUGGCGAUUGGG
rnacentral:rRNA from 2 species